GGGGCCGUAGCUCAGCUGGGAGAGCGCUACACUGGCAGUGUAGAAGUCGUGAGUUCGAGUCUCAUCGGCUCCA
rnacentral:tRNA from 1 species